rnacentral:rRNA from 1 species
CCAAUAGCGUAUAUUAAAGUUGUUGCAGUUAAAAAGCUCGUAGUUGAAUUUUGGGUUUGGCCGAUUGGUCCGUUCUUGUAACGAGUACUGGUCGGUUGGGCCUCACCGCUUGGUGAUGCGUAAUGUCCUUUAUUGGGGGUUGCGAGUAGCCAAGACCUUUACCUUGAAAAAAUUAGAGUGUUUAAAGCAGGCUUAUGCCGGAAUACAUUAGCAUGGAAUAAUAGAAUAGGACAACGAUUCUAUUUUGUUGGUUUCUAGGACCGUUGUAAUGAUUAAUAGGGAUAGUUGGGGGCAUUAGUAUUCAAUUGUCAGAGGUGAAAUUCUUGGAUUUAUUGAAGACUAACUACUGCGAAAGCAUUUGCCAAGGAUGUUUUCAUUAAUCAAGAACGAAAGUUAGGGGAUCGAAGACGAUCAGAUACCGUCGUAGUCUUAACCAUAAACUAUGCCGACUAGGGAUCGGGCGAUGUUGUUUCAAUGACUCGCUCGGCACCUUAUG